GACGAACGCUGGCGGCGUGCUUAACACAUGCAAGUCGAACGGAAAGGCCCUGCUUUUGUGGGGUGCUCGAGUGGCGAACGGGUGAGUAACACGUGAGUAACCUGCCCUUUACUUUGGGAUAACUUCAGGAAACUGGGGCUAAUACCGGGUAUGAGCUCCUGCUGCAUGGUGGGGGUUGGUAAGUUUUGGUGGUUGGGCAUGGACUCGCGGCUCAUCAGCUUGUUGGCGGGGUAGUGGAUUACCAAGGCUUUGACGGGUAGCUGGCCUGGGGGGGUGACCGGGCACAUUGGGACUGGGAAACGAGCCAGACUCCUACGGGAGGCAGCAGUGGAGAAUAUUGCACAAUGGGCCGCAGCCUGAUGCAGCGACGCCGCGUGCGGGAUGACGGUCUUCGGGUUGUAAACCGCGUUCGCCUGUGACGAAGCGUGAGUGACGGUAAUGGGUAAAGAAGCACCGGCUAACUACGUG
rnacentral:rRNA from 1 species